UCUGGCAGCUUGGACAGGAGGACCAGACCCUGUCCCGGCCCCAACUCUACUCCAACCCCAGGCAUGCACUGAGCCCUGGCCCCGUCCCCUGUGGACCGUAUGGAGGUGCCUCUACGAUGCUGUCCCCCGACUCCGGCACCAUGGUGCUACCUCCUCUGGCAUCACAAUUCUGCCUCACCAGGACCACAGGGCCAUGGCCCCAGAAAGUGGCCACUGCCUCACUGGCUGUGAGUGUGGGUGGGGCCUCCUUCAUCACACUCGGAGAAGAGGACCCCUGGGCUUCACCAGAUGAACCUGGCAAGGGGUGGGGGGGGGCAGACCACCAGAGAGUGGUGGCCCCCACUGUACGGCAUCCCUGCGGUGCCCCCCGACAAGCCUCUGAGGGGAGGCCCCAUCUUCCCCAUUUUCCGUGAGGAGCCUGAGUGAGCAAGGGGUGGAUGCGACCCUUACCCCAGAGCGAGGUGGCUGUGUCUCCCUGCCCUCCCUGCACUCCCCUUUCACUCGUGGUUCUCAGGGGCAUUUGUCCUGGGGCCACCAGGGGAGAGGGGUCUGGCCCUCAGACUGUCCAGAAACGCCUGGCGGGGUGGGCCUCUGCCACCUGCCCCUUGCCCACACAGGGCAGGGCUGUCGCCUGCGCCCCUGACAGCUCCAGCGCCCCCGCGGCCCUGAGCGAGCCCUGUCCAAGGUGCUGAAGGAGAGGCGCUGACCCCUCGGCUGUUUUGCUGCUCACUGAUGCCCCCGCAAGGGCCAGGGAGGGUCAGGAACGACUUGGGUCUGAGAGUGCCCCUGGGCCACCCUGGGGAGCUGGUGUGUGUGUGUGUGUGUGUGUGUGUGUGUGUGUUUGUCCCAGUCGACAACCAGUGAGGAACUGAGGCCUCUGCCAGACGCUGUGUGAAUAAGCUUAGAAGCAGACGCCUCCUCAGUGGAACCCUCAGAUGACCCAGCCCAGCUGGCACCUCCACUGUAGCUCAGAGCCACCCUGAGCUGAGCCCCUUCUGAGUUCCUGAUCACAGAGGCCAAGUGAGGGUACAAACAGUUCCUGCUGUCUGGCACUCCUUGGUUCUGGGAAAUUUGUUGCACCGACUGGCAUGGGAUUGGGUAGGCCGCCCUCCACCUCCAGGGGCAUUCGCUCAGUAGUUUCAUGCCCCAGAGCCCCCAGUGAGACCAAUUGAAGCUGGCUUCUGGCUAAGAACAAAGCCUUGCCCAGCUCUUCCCCCUUCCAGUCCUGCUUCUCCUGAGAGACUUCCUUAGUAAAGCUCUUGAACAAAA